rnacentral:lncRNA from 10 species
GAGAAACUGGUUUUGCUUGGCUCUCAUUCUUUCUCUUGCCACCACCAUGUGAGAUGUGCCUUUCACCUUCCACCAUGAUUGUGAGGCCUGCCCAGCCGUGUGGAACUUGUGGCUCCGCGUCCAUCAUGGUCUUAGGUUCCCUUCCUCUGCCCAAGUCCCAUCACAAGUGCAGAAUCACUGCAGUUGGAUUAACUGGACCCAGCCACAGCUGAGUAUUAAAUGAAAUCAUAUGUGGCUUUGGACACACUGCGUGGAGGUUCAGGGACUGGCAGCACUCAAAGGCUGGAAGAAAGGUGCACUGAGACGCAGGGACCCAUGGCACCCUGAGCCCACUCUCCAUGACUGACAGCUGCAGAGGUGAUGGCUGGCCCCAUUUGCCCAGGGCACAAAGGCAUUUGAGGGAGGACCACAAAAGAUAGGCUGUGAGUGGAUGUGCCCUUGUAAAAUUUUGUGCAAAGCCCUCAGCUCAGAGCCCAUGGGACAUAGGUAGGGUGGGCUCAGUCAUGUCUGCCACUGGUAUCAGACUUCACUUGGAGAUUUGGAGCCCCGGUUCAGUAGGGCAGGAGGAGGGUGUGGGAGCUCUGUGGCCUGAGAUUUCUAUCUUUACCUCUUUCCUUCACCUACACAUUCCAUCCUGCAGUGGGUAGCCCCGGUGAGAGGGAAAAGGGAGUGUUUGAUAUCAUCUAAUUCCAGUGGAGGGCGUGACUUACCUGGACUACAGAGCUAAUUGGUGCUUCCUGCCUUGCCGAAGGACACAAGCAUGUUUCCAGCAGUGCUGGUCCAGCCCCUGUUUGUGCUCCAUGGGCGCCAGGUGGAG